ACCAUUAUGUUCGUCUAGCAUACAAUGUGACAUACCAUUCAUUAUUAGUAGUACACCAUCCAACAGGACUUAUACAACUUUUAGUGAUUUGGAAAUAUCGAAUGUGGAAAGUCACGAGCUUAUUACUUGCAGUGAGAAUGAUUAUAGAAAUCCUUGUGGAAAUAAUGUACCAUCCACUACAGAACCUACAAUAAUAUCUUCAAUAACUGAAGGACCAUCAACUAUAAACGUAGACAGUUGUACUAGUCAUACUAAUAAAUCCCAUGUAUGUCUUCCAAUACAUUUCUAUCGGUUCAAGAAGAUAUUAGUCAACAAAUUCAUACAAUCGCUGAAAGGGAAAUGGAAAUAGCUGGUGAGGAAGAGAGACAGUUGGCCAUAGAGAUCGGGUUCAAUUGAUACAGAUGGGUACGCCAAUGUGUACUGUAGUGGUUGACGGGCAAUGGUCAAAAAGAAGCUAUAAGACUAAUUAUGACCAAUUGUCUGGCGUAGCAACCAUUAUUGGGUAUAAAUCAAAAAAAAUUUUGUUCAUUGGAAUUCGUAACCGGUAUUGUGCCGUUUGUCAAAGAGCGAAAAAUAAAGAUAUACCCAAACCUGAGCAUUCUUGUUUUUUAAACUGGUCAAAAGGAGCUACAAGUAUGGAAGCAGAUUCAAUUGCAAAAGGUUUUUAGCGAAGUAUGGAAUUACAUGGAUUGAAAUACAAUAAACUAAUAGGUGAUGGUGAUUCUAGUGUGACAAAAAGGCUCUCUGAGAUUAUGCCUUAUGGUCCUAAAUUUCAUAUUCAAAAAAUAGAAUGCCGUAAUCAUUUGUUACGAAAUUGCGGAACAAAAUUAUCAUUACUAGCCAAAAACAUCAGACAUCCUUAUACCUGAAUUUAGAAAACAUAUUCAAAGUAAUAUAAUAAGAUUCAGAAAUGCAGUUGUUAAAUCAAUUGAAUAUCGCAACAAAUUAAUCAACCAAUCUGACAGUGAUAAACGUUUAGGUUUACGUAAGGAUAUUUUGAACAGUUUUUACCAUAUUUUGGGUUCCCAUGCUUGGUGUGAAGACUAUUUCUGCAACGGGCCCAAAUUAAACGAGCAAAACUUUGUUGAUGACGCAGAAAAAUCGAAAGUUAUAGACAAAAUUACGCAGUUGGCUAAUCGAUUAGUAGCUCAUGACGACAGUUUACUAAUGAAUGUGGAUAACAAUGUUUGUGAGCAAUUUAAUAGUAUAAUAAACAAGCAUUU